CCUUUAAUUUUUAAGUUACCGUUCAAAUCGAUUACUACAGUUCCUUUUAGAGUUUCCCCCGAAUAGCACACCAUUUGGGAAUUAUCAAAUUGAAUUUCAAGUUUGUUUAACUUUCCCAUUUUGUAAAAACCUCUCUACGAUUUCAUUUCCAUCAAUUAUUCCAACUCUCACUAUUUUUGUUAAUCCAUCACUAAUAUAACUCAAUUAUAAUCAAUAUUUCAACAUUGACUUCCGUUACUGAAAUUUAAAUUGCU
rnacentral:lncRNA from 1 species